rnacentral:rRNA from 1 species
CGUAACAAGGUUUUCGUAGGUGAACCUGCGGAAGGAUCAUUAUUGAAUUUU